AACGAACGCUGGCGGCAGGCUUAACACAUGCAAGUCGAACGCCCCGCAAGGGGAGUGGCGCACGGGUGAGUAACGCGUGGAUAUCUGCUUUUUGGUUCGGAAUAACCCCGGGAAACUGGGGCUAAUACCGGAUGGUUCCUACGGGAUAAAGAUUUAUCGCCAAAAGAUGAGUCCGCGUACGAUUAGCUAGUUGGUGAGGUAAUGGCUCACCAAGGCGACGAUCGUUAGCUGGUCUGAGAGGACGAUCAGCCACCCUGGGACUGAGACACGGCCCAGACUCCUACGGGAGGCAGCAGUGGGGAAUAUUGGACAAUGGGGGCAACCCUGAUCCAGCCAUGCCGCGUGAGUGAUGAAGGCCUUCGGGUUGUAAAGCUCUUUUGGCGGGGACGAUGAUGACGGUACCCGCAGAAUAAGCCCCGGCUAACUUCGUG
rnacentral:rRNA from 1 species